UUGCUCUGUUGCCCAGGCUGGAAUGCACUGGGGAGAUCUCAGCUCACUGCAACUUCUGCCUCCCAGGUUCAAGCGACUCUCCCUGCCUCACCCUCCCAAGUAGCUGGGGCACAGCAAAAACCUAGAGAUUAAAAAAUGGAGUCACAUGGCUAAGCAAGAUGUAUUAUUUAUUCAGUCCAAAGAAAUGCUAUGUUACAUCUGGAUUCAAGGGACUUUGCAGUAAUUCCAAGAGGUAGAAUGUAAGUCCCUGGGGGAAAGAGUCUCCAUGUGUGUUCAGUGUUUUGUGUGUGAUGAAACCUAUAUGUGUUUUCAUUUUCUUUCCUCUAAGAAACUUUUAUAUACAUAUUAACAGUUGCAGAGCGUUAAUGGGAGAAGAGAAAUGAGCAUAAAGUAAAAUGCUAGUAGCAAUGAUUAAUGCAACACUUAUUGUGGCCAAGAAUUUUACAUUUGUUAUCUCAUUUAAGUUUCAUGAAAAUCUCCAUUUACAGAGAAGAAAACUGAGACUGAAACUACCUUGCUCAAGCUCAUCGAGCUAGUAAGUGGAGGAAUUAGGGAUGUGAAACAAGGUCUGGAUGCCUCUGGGGCCCAUGCCCUAAACUAUGAUGUCAUAUCACCUUAGAAUACUAAAUCAGGCUGGGAGUGCUCAGAAGAAUUCAGAGCUUCUGAAUUUCAGACUGGUCCACACUUGACUCAUCUGGCUAUUUAAAGUGAAUGUAGCUUCAGAAUUAGGGAACUUGAUAUCGUGAACCCCCUGCAAAUCCGCAGCAGAGCAGAGAUGCCUAGAUUCUUAAUCCAACUCUGUCAUUUACUGACAAUGUAAAUGACAGGGUUUGGCUGUGUCCCCACCCAAAUCUCAUCUUGAAUUCCCAUAUGUUGUGAAAGGAACCUGGUUGGAGGUAAUUGAGUCAUGGGGGCAGGUCUUUCCCAUGCUAUUCUUGUGAUAGUGAGUAAGGCUCACGAGAUCUGAUGGUUACUGUAAGGGGGAGUUUUCCUGCACAAGCUCUCUUCUCUUGUCUGCCACCAUAUGAGAUGUGCCUUUAACCUUCUUCCAUGAUUGUGAGGCCUCCCCAGCCACGAGGAACUGUAAGUCCAAUAAACUCCUUUCUUUUGUAAAUUGCCCAGUCUUGGGUAUGUCUUUAUGAGCAGUGUGAAAAUGGACUAAUACAGUAACCUUGUAUAUCUUAUUAACCUUCUCCAAGCCCCUAUUUCUAUUUCAUUAGCAUUGGAAGAAUAAAAUCUUCACUGUUUAUGUAAUUGGUUUUGAGAAGUAAGCCAAACUGCAUAUACUAUAAAGUACAAAACAAUAGUAUAUAUUGUGAUUAUUUUGUGAUUUUCUCAAGUAUUCUGCUUUUCCAUGGAAAUAAUAAAUUGUAAUAAUGAUGGACAUCUAUUAUUGUUGCUGUUAUUAUUGCUAAUCCUACAUAAAGUAACAGGAUUGACUAUAUAUUAAUUACGGAGGGAAUAAGAAAAAGGAAAAAAUGUUCCAG
rnacentral:lncRNA from 1 species